GCAGGGAGGGCCUGUAUGCACGCAGCUAGUUGUGAGCUCUUAGCUGUUAGCUGUUAGCUUGGCUGGACAACUUCUGCACACCAUCCAGUAGCCUGGACGUUAUGGAUCGGAAAUAUUAGCAAAAUACAACGUAUUUCAACGUAUCCUUGAAAUGUAAAUAAAAUGCUUUCUUACCUUUAAGAUGGCGUCUCUAAGGCAAUAUUACACAAAUGAGUUAACCUCAGAGUGUUUUCAAGCUUUAUCCCCGUUUCCUCAAAGUAAUCCACGCUGGCGUUUCAACUUUGAACUUUAUCUAAAUGUGAAACUAAGACGAGAGUUCUAGCACACUCCCUUGAGGAUCGCCAGGCUAGCUUGGCUAAGCGAGUAGCAUUGUCGGAUUUGUAAGCAUAACUUGAUGCUGUUUGCUUAAUCUUUAUGACCUGUCUCUUAUCUUGAUCCAUUAUUCAUUCGCUGCAUGCUUCUGCAUUCCGCCGUUUUGGGUUUGUUAUAAGAUGUCUGACAGACGGCUCAGCGGCUUGUUACUAAUGUUCUCUGGAAUAUGUAUCUUAUGUUGUUGUAAUACAUCUGACGCGGGCACACAAGAAUUAGCUUAGGGCUCCGUCUGAAUCCAAAAGCUCUGGGCUAACCUCCACCUCUGAAAACACGUCAAUACAAACUUGAUUACUUUCUCAUUCCCCUGACACGAGAAGUGAAGCUUGAAAUAGGUUCCCCAGUGUGUGAGCAUAGUGAUGUUCUGAUAGGUUCCCCAGUGUGUGAGCGUAGUGAUGUUCUGAUAGGUUCCCCAGUGUGUGAGCAUAGUGACGUUCUGAUAGGUUCCCCAGCGUGUGAGUGUAGUGACGUUCCGAUGGGCUCCUUCCGUCUCCUGUCGUCUCCUGUGUUCCUCUGCUUAAUGCUGCUUUAUUUGUGCUGACUCAUAAUUAAAUUAUUUUAAUUGAUUUCCUUAAGUAACUUAAUUUGUCCACGUCCAGGAGCCGUUCUCCUGGGACAUCUGUUAAUGUCUCCUAGGAGAUAUAGCGACUCUGUAUUAAUUAUGUCUAAGGCAUUUGCUCUGCACUUUAUUAAUGUCUUCAUGUUCUUUAUGAAGUCAUGAAAUGGUAAAUUUUGUGGACCACCUGCUCAUAUGGUGCCUAGCUGAUCUCCAUAAUACUGGUGUUCCACACCACCAUGUCCUCCUGAAACAAGAGCCUCCAGAAGCAGCUCUAGAACACCCUGCACCCUGCCGUCUGUCUGUCCUCUAGAGCACCCUGCCGUCUGUCUGUCCUCUCGAGCACCCUGCCGUCUCUCUGUCCUCUAGAGCACCCUGCCAUCUGUCCUCUAGAGCACCCUGCCGUCUGUCUGCCCUCUCGAGCACCCUGCCGUCUGUCUGUCCUCUCGAGCACCCUGCCGUCUGUCCUCUCGAGCACCCUGCCGUCUGUCCUCUCGAGCACCCUGCCGUCUGUCCUCUCGAGCACCCUGCCGUCUGUCCUCUCGAGCAGUGUUUCCCAGACCUUUUUUUUGGGGACCAAUCUUUUUUAAAUUACAAACCAUCGCGACCCAAUAUAAAAAAUAGUACAGUACUAUCAAAAACAUGCUUCUUGUUUAAAGUUUUUUUAAAUGCUCAUGCCGAACAGGUAGGCGUGUAUUUAUGGGCAGCUAUUGUUAUCAAACAGUCAAUCAAUUAGUUAAGAUAAAACUUUAUAAAUCCCCCAGGGGAGAAAUUCGGGUGUUUCAGCAGCAAGAAGUAAGACAGUCAAAACUGAAACUGUAGAGAUAGAUGCCAAAAUAGUGCCAAAGUUCUCUGUAAAAAGUUUUUUUUGUUUAUUUUAUCUACAUUUAUUUGGC